rnacentral:rRNA from 1 species
UACGGAGGAUGCGAGCGUUAUCCGGAUUUAUUGGGUUUAAAGGGUGCGUAGGCGGCUUAGUAAGUCAGCGGUGAAAUUUUGCAGCUUAACUGUAACAGUGCCGUUGAUACUGCCAGGCUAGGAUUUGGUUGCUGUGGGUGGAAUGUGUGGUGUAGCGGUGAAAUGCUUAGAUAUCACACAGAAUAUCGAUUGCGAAGGCAUCUCACAAAGCCGUUAUUGACGCUGAGGCACGAAAGUGUGGGGAUCAAACAGGA